CGGCUACCAAGGCGAUGAUGCAUAGCCCGAGUUGAGAGACUGAUCGGGCCACAUUGGGGACUGAGACACGGGCCCAAAACUCCUACGGGGAGGCAGCAGUAGGGAAUCUUCCACAAUGGACGCAAGUCUGAUGGAGCAACGCCGCGUGAGUGAAGAAGGGUUUCGGCUCGUAAAGCUCUGUUGGUAGUGAAGAAAGAUAGAGGUAGUAACUGGUCCUUUAUUUGACGGUAAUUACUUAGAAGUCACGGCUAACUACGUGCCAGCAGCCGCGGUAAU
rnacentral:rRNA from 1 species